AUAGUUUCGUUGACGAGAAGAGUAGGCUUUUAUUCCGGGCUGAAGAGAGUCGCUGGCUGGUGGGAAGCGAUGGCGGAUAAGGGUUGAAGAUCAUCUCUGAGAAGUUCUGCUGAAAUGAUCCAGAGUAAGCAGGACCGGUUAGCGGCCGUUAUCCGUUAUGUGAACCGAGAGCCGUGUAUAAGAAAAAGUGCACGGAAUAUGGGUGGUACCGCGGAAUAAUAUCCGUCCCUGUU
rnacentral:ncRNA from 1 species